rnacentral:rRNA from 1 species
UACGAAGGGAGCUAGCGUUGUUCGGAAUCACUGGGCGUAAAGCGCACGUAGGCGGAUGUGUCAGUCAGGGGUGAAAUCCCGGAGCUCAACUUCGGAACUGCCUUUGAUACAGCACAUCUGGAGUCCGGAAGAGGUGGGUGGAAUUCCUAGUGUAGAGGUGAAAUUCGUAGAUAUUAGGAAGAACACCGGUGGCGAAGGCGGCCCACUGGUCCGGUACUGACGCUGAGGCA